rnacentral:lncRNA from 1 species
CCUGAGCCCCCUGGUGUCGCAGACCUAGGAAGCGACCGAUGAUGCUAAAAUGACUGUCCUCUGACUUACAUGUGUCCAGUGGGCCAUUUCUCAGGCCAGCCAUGGCUUGUCCAAGAUCUCUGAAGGCGAGGCAUGUCUCCCUGCAUCAUUCUCCCAAUUUCAUUAGAUGUGUCUUCUCCCACUUCACCUGUGUUCUUCUAGGUCUGGCUCUCCACCAGGGGCACCUCCCACCUGGGAAGAGAGGACAUACUGCUGGACUUAUUCCUAGCCAGCAGUGGGGGCAGAGCCAGGAUCAGGUCCAGGCCUGGAGAGGAAACCCAUUAACUCUGCUCUCACACCAUUGGUCAGAACUUGGUCACAUGGCUAUACUGGCAGCAGGGGAGUCUGGGAAACAUAGUCCAGCUGUGUGUCCAGGUCCCGGCUCUGAUCUGCCUAUCCCAGUGCGUUUGCUCCUUGCCAAAUGCUGAACUGAUGCUCAGAGCUGGGCUACCCAUCUGCGCCCUCUCUACUCUGGAUGUCUAACUGGCUGGCCACAACUUCCUCAUCUUACAGCCCUUAUUAUGCAAUAUCCACACCUGGGACCUUGGAUUGACAGAAGCAAGUGGUAGGUUCUGAGAAAAUCUGGUCCCGCUUUUGUGGAAAUUUUUGAGACAUGUAUCAAUGGGAACCCAUUCCCACUGAUAAACUAAUAGGUUAAACAUUUCUAAGUGGAGCUGCAGGGGCAGCCCUGUUUGUGUUAUUGGGACAUUCAUGGCUGUCUAGAGAUAGGAGAGAAGCUUAGCAGAAGGAGCCUGGCUGCUUCCUGAUGACCAUGCAGGAGUCUAUUUCAGGCUUUUUUUUUUUUUUUUUUUUUUUUUGGCUUUUAGGGCCACGCCUGCAGCAUAUGAAGGUUCCCAGGCUAGGGAUGGAAUUGGAGCGGUAGCCGCCAGCCUGCGCCACAGCCACAGCAAUGUGGGAUCCAAGUCACAUCUGCAACCUACACCACAGCUCAUGGCAAUGCCAGAUCCUUAAUCCAAUGAGUGAGACCAGGGAUCAAACACGAGUCCCCAUGAAUGCUAGUCAGGCUCGUUAACUGCUGAGCCAUGACGGGACUUCCAGGAGUCCUAUUUUAUUUAUUUUUUAUUUUUUUAUUUUUGGUCUUUUUGCUUUUUCUAGGCUGCUUCACACGGCAUAUGGAGGUUCCUAGGCUAGGGGUCUAAUUAAAGCUGUAGCCACUGGCCUACACCAGAGCCACAGCCACAGCAACGCGGAAUUCGAGCUGCUACAGGUCACUGCACCCGUGGCAUAUGGACGUUCCUGUGUUAGGGGUCAAAUUGGAGCUGCAUCUUCGACCUACAUUGCAAUUUGUGGCAACGCCAAAUGCUUAACCCACUGAGCGAGGCCAGGGAUCGAACUUGCGUCUUCACGGAGACUGUGUCGGGUUCUUAACCUGCUGAGCCACAACGGGCACUCCUUGUGUGUGUUAUUUCAUCGAGGUAGGUACACUCAUCCCAUUUCUCAGGGAAGAAAAUUGAAGUGGAGACAAUAAAGGGGUCUUUGAGCCCUGCA